rnacentral:rRNA from 1 species
GAUCAUGGCUCAGGAUGAACGCUGGCGGCGUGCUUAACACAUGCAAGUCGAACGAAGCAACUAUCUUGGCUUGCAAGAAAGUUGACUUAGUGGCGGACGGGUGAGUAACGGCGUGGGUAACCUGCCUCAUACAGGGGGAUAACAGUUGGAAACGACUGCUAAGACCGCGAUAACCCGCUAGUGUCGCAUGACACGGACGGAAAAUAUUUAUAGGUAUGAGAUGGGCCCGCGUCUGAUUAGCUAGUUGGUAAGGUAACGGCUUACCAAGGCGACGAUCAGUAGCCGACUUGAGAGAGUGAUCGGCCACAUUGGGACUGAGACACGGCCCAAACUCCUACGGGAGGCAGCAGUGGGGAAUAUUGGACAAUGGGGGAAACCCUGAUCCAGCGAACCGCCGCGUGAGUGAAGAAGUAUUUCGGUAUGUAAAGCUCUAUCAGCAGGGAAGAUAAUGACAGUACCUGACUAAGAAGCCCCGGCUAACUACGUGCCAGCCGCUGC